rnacentral:rRNA from 2 species
GAUUUCUGGCUUGAAACAUUUUGCCGGCCACGGUUUCGUGUGUUAGUGCUUGAUGUUCUGGCCAUCCUUCCAAUCGCUAUCGGCUUAUCUUCAUUGAUCGGUCGGUAGUAUUGGAUCUUUUACUUUGAAAAAAUUAGAGUGUUUCAAGCAGGCUUUAUGCUAUGAAUACAUUAGCAUGGAAUAAUAAUUUAGGACUUCGGUUCUAUUUUGUUGGUUUCUAGGACUGAAGUAAUGAUUGAUAGGGAUAGUUGGGGGUGCUAGUAUUCAGCGGCCAGAGGUGAAAUUCUCGGAUUCGCUGAAGACUAACUUAUGCGAAAGCAUU